rnacentral:rRNA from 1 species
GAUCAUGGCUCAGGAUGAACGCUAGCUACAGGCUUAACACAUGCAAGUCGAGGGGCAGCAUUUCAGUUUGCUUGCAAACUGGAGAUGGCGACCGGCGCACGGGUUAGUAACACGUAUCCAACCUGCCGAUAACUCGGGGAUAGCCUUUCGAAAGAAAGAUUAAUACCCGAUGGUAUAAUUAGACCGCAUGGUCUUAUUAUUAAAGAAUUUUCGGUUAUCGAUGGGGAUGCGUUCCAUUAGGCAGUUGG